rnacentral:misc_RNA from 1 species
AACUUUUGACAAUGGAUCUCUUGGCUCUCGCAUCGAUGAAGAACGCAGCGAAAUGCGAUAAGUAAUGUAAUUGCAGAAUUCAGUGAAUCAUCGAAUCUUUGAACGCACCUUGCGCUCCUUGGUAUUCCGAGGAGCAUGCCUGUUUGAGUGUCAUUAAAUUCUCAACCUUUCCAACUUUUGUUAGCUGGUCGGGCUUGGAUUGUGAGGGUUGCGGGCUUCUCAGAAGUCAGCUCUCUUUAAAUGCAUUAGCGAAACCUUUGUUGAAUUAGCUCUGGUGUGAUAAUUAUCUACGCCAUUGUGAAACAACUUCUAUUAUGGGGUUUGGCUUCUAAUCGUCCUUUGGGGACAAGUCUUUGACAAUUUGACCUCAAAUCAGGUAGGACUACCCGCUGAACUUAAGCAUAUCAAUAAGCGGAGGCU